CCGUUCAAUUUAUAUUACUCUGGAACAUCCGUAAAAUCUUCUGGAUCAGUUCGAACGAUCGAUUGGGUGAUGUUGAUGGUUGUGAAGUUUGAUUCUGGCUCAGAUUGAACGCUGAGGAUGCUUUACACAUGCAGUCAGGCGGCAGCACGGACUUCGGUCUGGUGGCGAGUGGCGAACAGGUGAGUAAUGUAUCCGGAACGUGCCUGUGGCGAGGAUAACUACGCAGCGUAUAAUACCUUUAUGCGCCCUUCGGGGAAAGCGGGGGACCUUCGGGCCUCGCACUAUUAGAAGCGGCCGAUAUCGGAUUAGCUGAUUGGUGGGGUAACGGCUCACCGAGCGACGACCGUAGCUGGUUUGAAGGACGACCAGCCGCACUGGGACUGAGACACGGCCCAGACUCCUACGGGAGAGCAGCAGUGGGGAAUUUUGGACAAUGGAGGAAACCUGAUCAGCCAUCCCGCGUGUGCGAUGAAGCAUUCGGGUUGUAAAGCACUUUUGGCGAGAAAAACGGCCUGGGAUAAUACCCCGUGCAACUGACGGCAUACCUGCAAGAAUAGCACCGAAGCUAACUACGUGCCAGCAGCCGCGGUAAUACGUAGGGUGCAAGCGUUAAUCGGGAGUACUGGGCGUAAAGCGUGCGCAGGCGGUUCGGAAAGAAAGAUGUGAAUCCCAGAGCUUAACUUUGGAACUGCAUUUUUAACUACUGAGCUAGAGUGUGUCAGAGGGAGGUGGAAUUCCGCGUGUAGCAGUGAAAUGCGUAAGAUAUGCGGAGGAACACCGAUGGCGAAGGCAGCCUCUGGGGGAUACUGACGCUCAUGCACGAAAGCGUGGGAGCAAAACUGGGGAUUGAAUACCCUGGUAGUCCACGCCCUAAACGAUGUCAACCUAGCUGUUGGGGCCUUCGGGCCUUGGUAGCGCAGCUAACGCGCGUGAAGUUGACCGCCUGGGGAGAUACGGUCGCAAGAUUAAAACUCAAAGGAAUUGACGAGGAUCACACAAGCGGUGGAUGAUGUGGAUAUAAUUCGAUCACGACACGCGAAAAACAUACCUACCCUUGACAUGUCUGGAAUCCCGAAGAGAUUUGGGAGUGCUCGCAAAGAGAACCGGAACACAGGGUGCUGCAUGGCUAUUAGUCAGCUCGUGUCGUGGAUGUUGGGUUAAGUCCCGCAACGACCGCAACCCUUGUCAUUAGUUGCUACACGAGGGCACUCUAAUGCGAUUACCGGUGACAAACCGGAGGAAGGUGGGGGACUGACGUCAAGUCCUCAUGGCCCUUAGGUGAGACUACACGUCAUACAAUGGUCGGGACAGAGGGUCGCCAACCCGCGAGGAAGACCAAUCCCAGAAACCCGAUCGUAGUCCGGAUCGCAGUCUGCAACUCGACUGCGUGAAGUCAAGGUCGCUGGUAAUCGCGGAUCAGCGUAUCUUGAUACGUUCAGGUCUUGUACACACCGCCCGUCACCUGGCGGUGGGUUUUGCAAGUAGUUAGCUAACCGUAAGGAGGGCGAUUACCACAGUAGGAUUCAUGACUGGGGUGGAAAUUCGUAACAAGGUAG
rnacentral:rRNA from 1 species